rnacentral:rRNA from 1 species
UACGUAGGGGGCAAGCGUUGUCCGGAAUCAUUGGGCGUAAAGCGCGUGUAGGCGGCUUCGUAAGUCCGUUGUGAAAGUCCAGGGCUCAACCCUGGAAUGCCGAUGGAUACUGCGGAGCUAGAGUCCGGAAGAGGCGAGUGGAAUUCCUGGUGUAGCGGUGAAAUGCGCAGAUAUCAGGAGGAACACCAAUGGCGAAGGCAGCUCGCUGGGACGGUACUGACGCUGAGGAGCGAAAGCGUGGGGAGCGAACAGG